rnacentral:rRNA from 1 species
UACGAAGGGGGGCUAGCGUUGCUCGGAAUCACUGGGGUGUAAAAGCGCACGUAGGCGGAUCUUUUAAGUCAGGGGUGAAAUCCCAAGGCUCAACCUUGGAACUGCCUUUGAUACUGGGGAUCUCGAGUCCGGAAGAGGUUGGUGGAACUGCGAGUGUAGAGGUGAAAUUCGUAGAUAUUCGCAAAGAACACCAGUGGCGAAGGCGGCCAACUGGUCCGGUACUGACGCUGAGGUGCG